rnacentral:sRNA from 1 species
AGUGAACCAGCGGAGGGAUCAUUGCUGGAACGCGCUUCGGCGCACCCAGAAACCCUUUGUGAACUUGUACCUAUUUGUUGCCUCGGCCUAGGCCGGCCUCUUCACUGAGGCCCCCUGGAGACAGGGAGCAGCACGCCGGCGGCCAACUAAACUCUUGUUUCUAUAGUGAAUCUCUGAGUAAAAAACAUAAAUGAAUCAAAACUUUCAACAACGGAUCUCUUGGUUCUGGCAUCGAUGAAGAACGCAGCGAAAUGCGAUAAGUAAUGUCAAUUGCAGAAUUCAGUGAAUCAUCGAAUCUUUGAACGCACAUUGCGCCCUCUGGUAUUCCGGAGGGGGUGCCUGUUCGAGCGUCAUUUCAACCCUCAAGCCUGGCUUGGUGAUGGGGCACUGCCUUCUAGCGAGAGCAGGCCCUGAAAUCUAGUGGCGAGCUCGCUAGGACCCCGAGCGUAGUAGUUAUAUCUCGUUCUGGAAGGCCCUGGCGGUGCACUGCCGUUAAACCCCCAACUUCUGAAAAUUUGACCUCNGAUCAAGGGAGGAAUACCCCGCUUGAACNUAAAGCAU